UUUACAAACAACACAGUAUGUUGCUCUAUCUAUAUGUAAGUGUUGGUUGUAAGCAUUUACUGGAAUAAAUGACCAAGAACUUUUGUGUGAAUUGUUGGAGCCCGCAAAUAUUUGCCGUUUACAACAACGAUUUAUCAUGGAUUUCUGCAGCGAGUCAAAAUUGCAGAGGAUGCAAUCGUACAUGCAGUUAGUUCAGUAAAUAGAGCCCCAUUCUGAAAGCCAGGGUUCUCGGGUUAGAGGCACAGAAUGACUACACUUGUUUCUCUCUGAAGACAGAGUAGCAAGAAAAACAACCACUUGUUAGGGCCCGAUGAAACAGGCCAGAGACAAAUAUUAUAAUUACCAGUUGUGGUGAAAAUAAAGAACUACAGAGCCCUUCGUCUGUUCCGCCAUACAAAAAUCAAAGAGGAAAGCUUAUUUUCUAACUGUAUAUGGGCUGAAGAAUAAACAUGCAACAAGGGGUAAACACUUUGUUCCCAUUGUAAUACAAAUGACUUGUCUGAUAACUGCAUUUCC
rnacentral:lncRNA from 1 species